rnacentral:rRNA from 1 species
CUGCAGCUCAAGUGGUGAUCAUUAUUAUUGGGCCUAAAGCGUCCGUAGCCGGUUUAGUAAAUGCCUGGGUAAAUCGUGUAGCUUAACUAUACGACUUCCGGGUAGACUACUAAACUUGAGACCGGGAGAGGCUAGAGGUACUCCUGGGGUAGAGGUGAAAUUCUGUAAUCCUAGGGGGACCACCAGUGGCGAAGGCGUCUAGCUAGAACGGGUCUGACGGUGAGGGACGAAGCCCUGGGGCACAAACCGGAUUAGAUACCCGAGUAGUCC